ensembl:lncRNA
GUCUGUCUUCAUAAGUGUGACAGAUUUGAUUAAGCUCUUUGAGAGAGACUGAUGUAAAAAUUCAGACAAAAUCAGACCUUUCUGCCAAUUUACAGUAUCACAUUGACAAUUCAUUCCAGGCUCAUCAAAGUUCAGUAAUGCAUGUGGAAAGAAUAAGUUUCCUGCACAGGAACAAGAAGUUGAUGAACAGGAAUGUAUAUGCUGGUUCCACACAUAAGCCUCAGCACAAAAUUAAAGAUAAAAGAGCAUUGAGAUGGCUAGAUGAUCACUUGGCCCUGGAAAUUUGACGUAUGAAGAGAACACUAGUGUGAAGCCAUACAAACAGUGGGCAAAGCUGACAGAGAGGCUGGGGUGGCAGAACUGAAGUUGGCGGUACUGCUGCCAGGUGCACGGCACACGUGCUGGAAAAGGAAAGCCCGGUAUGCUGGAAAGGAGCAGCUGAGGUGGUAACUGUAGUGCUUUGGACAAGCAGUCAUCUCUCGUUGUGGAGACUGCCGUGGCUUGGCACUGGAAGGAAGGAAGGUCUUGUUGGCACCAGGUGGGGACACCGAGACACAGGGCUGCAGCAUGAUUAGCCCCAUGUUUUUCAGCAAAGCAUGAGGACAGCAUGUGGCUGCACCAGUAGUGAGGACCUUCUGGUCUCUUCUUUGCUACCAUCUUGCAACCCUUCCCAAAGCGUGCUGCAGGCCCAGCUCCAAUGCUUCAUCAAGAUCCAGGAACUCCCAGAGCUGCCCACGGUCAUGUCACACAGGUUAACACAGGCUUUCAUGGCCUUGCUGCAAUGAGCAGGACUGAAGUGGAAAGUGAUGAGCCUGCUGAGGUCGUCUGGAUGCAGUGAUGUGAAGAGGCAGUAGUUUUCCAGGCUGAUAUUCAGUCUGGAGCCGUAGCACUGAUGCUCCAAGACUGUCACUUCUUUGUGAAACUAUGACUGCUAAAAAGAAACAUUUAUUUUCUUCAUUUGCAAGGCUGUGAAAACACACUCACCUUCCUGCGGACGUGUGCGGAGCAGAGGUGUCAGCUCACCCCAUGCAGCCUGAUGUGGACUACGUCAGUGUGGUCACCCACCCCCUGGAUGAGGUAGUCCUGGCUCCUUCGGGUCAGGCCUCGCAGUACAAAGGCUGCAGAGCUGCAGAAAGGGAGAAGACAAGGAGGGCUGCGCCUAGCCUUUAUCUCUUGCAUGCUUUGGCCCCAUGAAGAACUCCAGCAUGUCUGCCUGGUGAACAACGGGUUGAAUGCCUGGUGAUGUCCAGUGAGUCAGGAACAACCCACAUUGAGGAGUAAGGAGACAUUAACAUACUGGUCAUCAGCUGAGCAGAAGAUACUGAUGGAGAUGCUUCUUUAUGCAAGCAAGACGGCAAGCUCCCUUCCAUUCUAUUGAGAAGAUAAUGCAUGAUAGCGAUGUGAAUGUGUUGCUGUCAUGAGCUAAGUGCUGACUUUUGUCCAUACCAAUGGUAACGAAGGGUUACAGAAAUGCUGAAACUCAAAAAUAUAAACACAAAUAUCAGACCUCCAGCCCUCCCAUAGGGCAUUUCUAAUUGUCAAGUGAAGGGAUGGGAAUUGCUGUGAUAAAUGUCAUGUAUCUUAUGGGUUGUUACACAACAGUGGGGGGGGAAGAGGGAAGGUGCAGAAAGGAGAAAGCUGGAACUACUCAUACGUACUUGGUAAAAAUAACAUGCCGUUUGAUUAGAAGUGUGUUUUAAACAUAUUAUUUGAAUAUGUAAGGAGUUAUGUUGGUCCUGAAAGUACCUGAUGACUAUCAUGCUGCUACGAAGGCAUUGUACCCACCAAUGCUUGGCCUCUGUGACAUUACCAUUGGGUUGAAUGACAAGCAGGGCAAGACCAGGUGGGCAGGAUGGGACUAACCAUGCUCAGGGAGCUGUAACUCCACAGAAUGAUCAUGCAGUGUUCUUACAUAUGAUGGAUGUGGUAAAUGACAGCAGUUUUGUUAACACUGCGCUCUACUGCAUAUCUGGCACAAGAGUUAACAUGGGCUAGCACCAAAAUUUGCAGUGUCAUGGGUGGUGAGUAUGCACCCUUCAAAGCCUCCUGUACUGUGGGAACUUUCAAUGGUUUAACCUAAAACAAGUGUCAUGCUGAGAAAAACUCUGUGCAAGCACUUGGUUUCAGUUUAAACACCAUUUAUUUUGAAGUCACCUCUGGGGGUGGAAAGGUGCUUUUUGUUGUUUGGUUUUUUUGUUGUUGUUGUUGUUUUUAACCAAAAUGAGUGAAACCAAAUGAAAGGUGUCUGCCUACAAGCAAUGCACUGGAGUAAUUAUGGUCCCUGCACUGACACUCAAGCAAAUAUUUCUGAGGCAGUUUCUGAAUUUUGCAAACCAUCUGUCUGCCUUUACCUCUGCCAGCACCACAGAGAUGGGGCACCUCAGCCUAAGAGCAGUCAGGGCAGCUAUGGGUGCUGCUGCACCAAAUCUCCAUAGCCAGUCAUUGGGCCACUUGUGAGUGUAGAAACAGCAUUUUCUGUCCAUCUGUCCAUGUGGUCGGAGGUGAGUCCUAGACAUACUGUGACAUAACAGCAUGUUCUUCCUCUAGGGCAAGAGCUGCAGCUGAAUUCAUCAGUAGGAAUGGGAUGUGAGGGACUUCCCCAGGUGGACUGCACUGGGGAUUCACUUCCAAGUGGGAUACCACAUUGGGUGCUAACGAUGCCAUUGACACCUACUCCCGCUCUAACCUGAUCACCUCUGGUCGGGUCCAGCUGGCCCUUUGAAGAUAUCUCCUCACCCAGUGUUAACCCCAGCUUGUUUUUCUCCCUGCUUCUUGGUUCACCAGUGGUGGCACAAGCCAGAGCUCCUGGCUGGGUCUCUGCAGGGCACACUGGUUUGAGGAGGAACAGAAGAGAGCUCUGGGACAUCUGGUACUUUAGACUGAGGAAGAGCACUCAUUUGGAUGGAGGGUUUGGUGCUGUAAAGCAGGUGAACUGGCUAAGCUUCUUCUGGAAGGUGCUGGGCUGCCAGGAGCUCCCCAGAGCAGGGGCAAGAAAGAUGUCCCUCAGCGGGUACUGGGGUAUCAUCAUGCAAACAGCUGGCUAGGUGAGUUAGAGAAGGUAUCUCAUCUCUUACCUAUUUCUCACUGGAAGCAGAAAGUGCAGAAGCCAAGUCUGUAAUUUCCCAGAUGGAUAUGUCUUCUAUAGGACCUCUUUCUUCCAUGAAAAGGAGGAGAUGCCUCCAGAUAUCCUCUGACACAUACAACUACUUUGUACCAGACAAAGUAAUUGGCUGGAGUCAACCUGGGCCCUCAGUAAAACAAGUGUGGGUUCGGGAAGUCAAAAGAGUUUGAGAGCUCCUGCCUCUGUCCUAUGGCAUUCCUGUGGUGGAAAAUCCCACAGUGAGGGGAGCUGUGGGCAGGAAAGUGGAGCACAGCCAUCCUGCUGCUUUCUGAAGGCAUCUAUCAGGUUGUGCAGGCAUAGCCAGGUCUCUAGCAUCCCUGUCUCUGCUCUUAGGUGUCAAUUUCUAUCAGACACUGGAAAUCCUGAGUAUAUUUCCAAGAAGAUGGGCAGAGUCAUUUGAUUGACCAUUGCGCUGGUCACACAGAAGAGAAGAAUGACCAUUCUUGCUCACAGGCUUAAAACCCACCUGCAUUCAUAUCUCCUCUUCGCGCUGCAAACAGCAAAGCAGAGAUGGUAACAGCCACUAAAGGAGGAAGGGCCAUGUACAGAGAUGUUCACUUACCUCCAAAGGUCUUUACUCUCUUGGUCAAAGGCCCUGACUGCCUAUCUUCAGUUUGGGUAUCUUUAAAUUUAAUCUGUCCAUAUUCCUUUUGCAUAGCUCUUGGAUGAAAAGGUUUGGCUCUGUAAAACAAUAUUGCCAAGCUGCUACAUGAGGAAUGAGCCACACAUAGAAGGUAUGUAAGUACGUGCUUGUGAAAAAGCCAACAAACUCUUCCCUCGUAUGUGAUGAUGCCUUUUCCAUGUCUAGUGUUGUCUUAGCUUCAUUUUCAUUACUUCACACAUAAAAACAGAAGUUAAAGGAUGUGCAAAAUGUCACACAGUGAAGUAAAAUUAUUGGCUGAUCUAAGAACUUCCACCCCAACCAGAAGUCUUAUCUUCCAAGCUUUGAAUCUGUGUCAGAACCAAUUAUUUUAAUGUAGAUUUUUUAAAUAUAUAUGGUAGCAUCUUAAGGCUUUGUCAAUAUAUUUAAAGUUGUUCUACAAUAUAUACAGUAAUUGCUUUUCUAUGAGGACCGAGAUACAUGAAAGAUUCAAAAGAUAGAGGACUUUUCAUUGAUGGCAACUUUUAAAAAAAUAAAAGUUGGAUUAUUACAUGAAGGAGAUAAAAGGCCAUGAAAUAGAUAUUAAGGCCAUGAAGUAGAUAUUUUUACUCUAGCAUAAGAGAGGAUUUUUAGCUUCUAAAUAUGCAGAGACACUAUAUCAACUAUCACAAAUGUGUGCCGGUGAUGCAUCCAACAACACUUAAUUAUCAGUUCUACAGGAAAAUUAGGUGAGAAAAUUACUUGUCUUUUUGUAUUUAUUUUAGUUAUAAAAACCCAAAGAUGAUGACAAUUCUCUCACUACAGCAUGUUAGACAUAGAUGGCUUGCCUGUCUUAUUUUUCCCCCUUGGUGAUGCAGAUUGAUAAUUCCUGCAGUGGGCUCAGUUUAAUUUGUUACUUUUUACAAAUGCAUAUUGUGCAGUUUUAAAGACAGCUGUCUUCAAAAUGGGUAGACAUUAAGCAGUUUCAUUUUUUGUGGUGUCUUAGAUCAGAAAUGUUUGAGAUGGAAGAAACUGAUCUGGUCCACUGCCUCGACCUUCUUUGCAAUGUGAGAUUCAUACUUAUGGGUCGGUAUUUGUAUGUCCUUCUUGCUUUCCUCCUCUAGAAAUUAAUUAGGGCAUUAAACAAUAUCAAAACAUGAAAAUGUUUGCAGAUGGACAGAUAGGAGCUAAAAGAUACUGAAAGUUCUUGUGCUACCAAACACAGCACAGGGAACAACUGAAGUAGCCACAGCUGAUGAAAGCAAUGUUUUUCAAAUGCUGUCCUAUGCUCAAAUAAGGUAUCUGAGAGAGCAACAACAGCUACCAUGGUGUGUGUCUCAUUUCCCUCACCCUGGGGCAUCCCGGGCAUAGCAAUGCUGCAUGGAGAAGAAAAGAAAAAAAAAGAGAGAGAGAGAGAAGGAAGGCUGAGAAGUAAGAAGAAAAAUCAGUCUUUGAAUGUGAAGAUAAAAAAUAAGCCACCAGGAACUAAACUGGUUUUAAUUUUGUCUCUGAUACUGUAGGGUUCUGGCAUGCAUCUGUCAACAUGGCUGACGUAGCUACACAGGAAUAUGGUGGGAAAAGUCUUGGCUAGAAAAAUCUUACUGCACACAUAUGAUGAAAGAGAAGGGAAAGGCAAUGUUGGAAGAGAACGACUUGUUCCCAGCAGUCAGCAAAGUCUCCAGCCAUAUUACAGCGGUGGCAGCUGCCUCUUCCCCAGUGGUAAGGGGGAGUGCCCCUGAGAGCAUGGCAUUACAAGGAGAACAGAUCUCAUGUGAUGUCCUUUGGAGGGCAGAUUUGGUUGUCCCUCAUGUAAAAUACAAACAGCAAUGGAUAAGCAAGAGCAUGGCGUUCACAGGGAGGAAGCUGAAGUAGUUGGUAUAGCAAUUAGAAGGAACAUGUUAAAUUGCUCUUGAUUUCCAUCAGGUGCCAACCCAUUAAGAGAAUAUCUGGUGAAUUAAGACUGGAAAAGGUGAGAAAGAGGGAGAGGGGAAAAUCUGGCUGGGGAGGAAGCAGAAGGAAACCAAGCAUAGCCUGCCUCAGCGGUCUCCUUCCCAUCAGUCUUCCAGGCAGUUGGGCAGGCUUGCUCAUGUGCCAGGCUGCUAUUCCUCGUGGGGACACCUGGUAUCCCACCCAGCCGUAGGGUCAUUUCCAGCUAGACUCCUUCCCCUGGCUCAGGGACAUACUGGGCCACGUGCAACACACUGAGACUUUAGUAAGUGCUCUGUGUAGCACUGGUGCAGGUGGGCAAAGCAAUGGCAUGGGAACACCAGUGCACACAUCUGCUUCUGCUAUAGCAGUGAGCUGCUGCUUCCCGUGCCACAUCCCAGUAUGUGGAGAAGACUGUGGAAGGAAAGGGAUUGGUGCAUAGUGAGCAGCCAGGAAAGGCAGGUGUGAGAUACAGCAGGUAACUUCAGGUGCAGAUACGUUCAUUUUUUUUUUUUUUUCUUGAUAAUUUGAUAAUAAACAUGCGAGCUGGAUUUGGUAUUGCCACUAGUGCUGGCACAUCCAGCCAAUUUCUGUAUUUUCUAGGAGUGUGCAUGCCAUUACAGCCAAGGAAAUCGUGCUCUCCUGGGACUCGGAUUGAGCAGUGUCUAAUAAAAGGCCUGAUGAAGAGAAACUUCUGCAAGAUUUAUUUUCCCCUGGGAAAUUAACCAUUGUAUACCACAGCACACAUGGCAUAUGGCUGCCUGUCCAUGGGAGCACUGCAUCCAACUUCUGAUUCAGCAAAAUACUGGAAGUGGUGUUGUGAUAAAUAGGGCUUAAACAGAGGUAUGAAGUUUGACAUGGCCUUAACAGGCCAUUUCGGCAUUGAUAAAUGUAAAACACAAAGAUUUAUAUUGUGACUCAGAGCUGGAUUUUUCUCAUACAAGCAAUGGAUUAAAAGUUAUCAGUUACCGAGUCUGAUUGCCAGACUAAUUCAAUUUAUUUUAUGUGUAUAUUAUGCUAUCUCUUCGCCUUCUGAAUGUUAUGUGAAAAUAAGAAAAGGUAGGCAUAGAAUAGAAUCACAGAAUGGGUUGGGGACCUUGAAGUCCACCUGGUUCCAACCCCAUUGCUAUGGACAGCGUUGCCUCCCACUUCAUCAUGCUUAGGGCCCCAUCCAGCCUGGCCUUGAACUCAUCCAGGGAUGGAACAUCCAUAGCUUCUCAGAGCAACCUGUUGCAGUACCUCACCACUCUUAGAGUAAACAAUUUCUCCCUAACAUCUAACCCAAAUCUCUCCUCUUUCAUUAUAAACCCAUUUCCCCUUGUCCUAUCGUUAUCGGACCAUGUAAAAAAUUGGUCCCGCUCCUGAUUAUAAGUUCCCGUCGAGUAAUGAAAGGCUGCAAUGAGGUCUCCCCAAAGCCUUCUCUUCUCCAGUUUGAAUAAGUCCAAUUCCCUCAGCCUGUCUUCACAGGAGAGGUGCUCCAGCUCUCUGAUCAUCUCAGUGGCCCUCCUCUGGACCUGUUCCAACAGCUCCAUGCCUUUCUGUGCGGAGGGCCCCAGGUCUGGAUGCAGUACUGCAGAUGGGACCUCACAAGGGCUGAGCAGAGAGAGACAAUCACCUCUCUCACCCUGCUGGCCACCCCUCUUUUGAUGAAGCCCAGGAUACUGUUGGCUUUCUGGGCUAAAAGCACACAUUGCUGGCACAUUCCCAGCUUUUCAUCACUGGGAACCCAAGGUCCUUCUCCCAAUCUGCAUUCAUAUCUGGGAUUGUCCUGAUCCAAGUGCAGCACCAUGUACUUGGCCUUGUAGUACAUCAUAAAAUAACAUAUAAUCCACAUAGUGCAUAGAGUAUUCUGUCUAUUUUAUUUAUUAUUGCUGUUAUUACUAUAUUCUGCUCUGGCCACUGGAGACAAUAGGCAUAUAUUUUGCAGUGGACAGUUAAGGGUUGUCAAAUAAUUGGAUGGACUUUUUUCAUGUCUAAUCAUUUACAGAUUUGUUUAUACUCUAAUGUUCAAGUGUUCCUGUCCUGAUAUAUCUUGUCUAGGAAAGAAAGCACUCACACCAGCCACCACCACGUAAGUAAAACUUUGCAGAGCCACCUCAGUGAAUGUGGGGGACGAAGUGCUGAGGUCCUGCUCCCUGUGGGGUCAACCAUCACCAACAUCCUCUUUGGUGCCAAACAAAAGGAGGAAUCGCAGGAUGAGAAUUUUGGCAAGAUGGAGAGCAGAUCUCUGGAAGGAGUUGGAAGAGCUGUAUCUUUGUUUUGAAGAGAAAAAACAAGCUUUGGAAAUGAUGCUUUGUGCCCAUGCAGCAAGCUGUGCUGUGGGCUCCCCGCUCUGCAAAGCACUGCAGCCUCCUUCCCCUGGGCCAGGGCAUGAGGCAGAGAGAAAUGAUGCUGUGCCUACCGCUGUAGCAUCACCAGCUCAGACCUGAAGCUGUCCAUAUACCAUAAGGUUCCUCUGAGUAUUUCUAACCUUACAGAUUCAAGCUUGUCCAAGCACAGAGUUUUGUGUCUCGGUUUCUUCCCC